GACGAACGCUGGCGGCGUGCUUAACACAUGCAAGUCGAACGGAAAGGCCUCUUUCGGGGGGUACUCGAGUGGCGAACGGGUGAGUAACACGUGAGUAACCUGCCCUUGACUUUGGGAUAACUUCAGGAAACUGGGGCUAAUACCGGAUAGGAGCUCCUGCUGCAUGGUGGGGGUUGGAAAGUUUCGGCGGUUGGGGAUGGACUCGCGGCUUAUCAGCUUGUUGGUGGGGUAGUGGCUUACCAAGGCUUUGACGGGUAGCCGGCCUGAGAGGGUGACCGGCCACAUUGGGACUGAGAUACGGCACAGACUCCUACGGGAGGCAGCAGUGGGGAAUAUUGCACAAUGGGUGGAAGCCUGAUGCAGCAACGCCGUGUGCGGGAUGACGGCCUUCGGGUUGUAAACCGCUUUCGCUCAUGACGAAGCUUUGUGUGACGGUAGUGGGUAAAGAAGCACCGGCUAACUACGUG
rnacentral:rRNA from 1 species